UGACCUCAAAUCGGGUGAGACUACCCGCUGAACUUAAGCAUAUCAAUAAGC
rnacentral:rRNA from 2 species